UACGUAGGCAGCGAGCGUUGUUCGGAAUUACUGGGCGUAAAGAGUGUGUAGGCGGUGCUCUAAGUUCGGUGUGAAAUCUCCUGGCUUAACUGGGAGGGUGCGCCGGAAACUGGAGUGCUCGAGCGUGGGAGAGGAAAGCGGAAUUCCUGGUGUAGCGGUGAAAUGCGUAGAUAUCAGGAGGAACACCUGUGGUGUAGACGGCUUUCUGGACCAUUGCUGACGCUGAGACGCGAAAGCGUGGGGAGCGAACAGG
rnacentral:rRNA from 1 species